ACAGAGGAUGAUGACUAGUGGUGGCGUAUGAGUCAUAGAAUAUGCAUGCCAGAAAAAGCAUGCCAGGCUUUUUCUUCUUGAA
rnacentral:snoRNA from 1 species